AUACGUAGGGUGCAAGCGUUAAUCGGAAUUACUGGGCGUAAAGCGUGCGCAGGCGGUUUUGUAAGACAGUGGUGAAAUCCCCGGGCUCAACCUGGGGACUGUCAUUGUGACUGCAAGGUUGGAGUGCGGCAGAGGGGGGUGGAAUUCCGCGGGUAGCAGUGAAAUGCGUAGAUAUGCGGAGGAACACCGAUGGCGAAGGCAAUCCCCUGGGCCUGCACUGACGCUCAUGCACGAAAGCGUGGGGAGCAAACAGGAUUAGAUACCCUGGUAGUCCACGCCCUAAACGAUGUCAACUGGUUGUUGGGGAUUUAUUUUCUCAGUAACGAAGCUAACGCGUGAAGUUGACCGCCUGGGGAGUACGGCCGCAAGGUUAAAACUCAAAUGAAUUGACGGGG
rnacentral:rRNA from 1 species